rnacentral:rRNA from 1 species
AUUGAACGCUGGCGGCAUGCCUUACACAUGCAAGUCGAACGGCAGCGGACCUUCGGGUGCCGGCGAGUGGCGAACGGGUGAGUAAUAUAUCGGAACGUACCUUUCAGUGGGGGAUAACGUAGCGAAAGUUACGCUAAUACCGCAUAUUCUGUGAGCAGGAAAGCAGGGGAUCGCAAGACCUUGCGCUGAUUGAGCGGCCGAUAUCAGAUUAGCUAGUUGGUGAGGUAAAGGCUCACCAAGGCGACGAUCUGUAGCGGGUCUGAGAGGAUGAUCCGCCACACUGGAACUGAGACACGGUCCAGACUCCUACGGGAGGCAGCAGUGGGGAAUUUUGGACAAUGGGCGCAAGCCUGAUCCAGCCAUGCCGCGUGAGUGAAGAAGGCCUUCGGGUUGUAAAGCUCAUUCGGCCGGGAAGAAAUCGCACAGGUUAAUACCCUGUGUGGAUGACGGUACCGGAAUAAGAAGCACCGGCUAACUACGUG